GUGGGGGUAUCAUUGAGCCAAAUUUUAUUGGGCUCGAGUAAGGCUUGUUGGGCUAAUCUAUGGGUUGUACUAUUAUCUUUUCUACCCACAUGCUUAUAAGAUCCGGAUAAUUUGCUCAUUAUCUGAUUCGAGCUCCAAUUCAUGGAAUCCCUUCUUAUCUGCAAGCUCCAUGGCCAAAUAGAUUGCAAAAGCUUCAACCGCUGCAGAAUUGUGAGUUCCAGGGAGGCACCAAAUGGCCGUUGCUAAGACAUCUCCAAAGUUGUUUCUGCAGAUUGCGCUCAAACCCCAUGUAUUUUCCUUUGAUAGAUUCGCAUUUAUUUUUACUUUGAUUGUGUUGUUGCUUGGUGGUUCCUAAUAAACAUUUCUUGAUAGAGUUUGAGUCGUAGUUCCGGUUUGAGUCAUGCAUGUUGAUGUUUUGUUGAUGCUGUCACAAGUUAUAUAGUCCUGAAUGUUUGUAUUGCUUUGUUUUAUUGUAUCUUCUUCACUUGAGAAGUUGUUGUUGAAGAUGAGUUUGUUCCUUGAGAACCAGAUGUUAUAAAUAACUGAUGCUGCAUAAAUGGUAGAAUCAGCGUCUUGAGUCUCAA